GUGUCAGCAGCCGCGGUAAUACAGAGACCUCAAGCGUUACUCGGAUUCACUGGGCGUAAAGGGUGCGCAGGCGGUUGCGUGUGUCAGGUGUGAAAUCCCAGGGCUUAACUCUGGAACUGCGCCUGAAACUACGUGACUAGAGUCUUGGAGAGGUAAGCGGAAUUUCUGGUGUAGCGGUGAAAUGCGUAGAUAUCAGAAGGAACACCAAUGGCGAAGGCAGCUUACUGGACAAGUACUGACGCUCAUGCACGAAAGCGUGGGGAGCGAAAGGGAUUAGAUACCCCUGCAGUCCACGCCGUAAACGUUGUACAUUAGGUCUUGGAAGAUUCGACCCUUUCAGGGCUCAAGCUAACGCGAUAAAUGUACCGCCUGAGGACUACGGCCGCAAGGCUAAA
rnacentral:rRNA from 1 species